AUCCAGCUGACGAGUCCUAAAUAGGACGAAACGUGCAAUUAUACUGAAU
rnacentral:hammerhead_ribozyme from 1 species